rnacentral:lncRNA from 10 species
UUUUUAAAAAUUUAAUUUAAUUUAAAAAAUAGAGACAGGGUCUCACUGUGUUGUCCAGGCUGGCAUUGAACUCCUGAGCUCAAGUGAUCCUCCCACUUCUGCCUGCCAAAGUGCUAGGAUCACAGGCAUGAGCGACCAUGCCUGGCCAAACUCCUUGUUAUUUGUUUAUUUUGGUUUUUUUUUUUUUUUUUGAGACGGAGUCUCACUCUGUUGCCCAGGCUGGAGUACAGUGGCGCAAUCUUGGCUCACUGCAAGCUCCACCUCCUGGGUUCACGCCAUUCUCCUGCCUCAGCCUCCCAAGUAGCUGGGACUACAGGCGCCCGCCACCACACCCAGCUAAUUUUUUGUAUUUUUAGUAGAGAUGGGGUUUCACCGUGUUAGCCAGGAUGGUCUUGAUCUCCUGUCUUCGUGAUCCGCCCGUCCCGGCCUCCCAAAGUGCUGGGAUUACAGGCAUACUCCUUAUUCUUGAAGGGAGCAGAUACUAUCUCCAGGUUAUUUACAAUGUUUCUUCAGCCUCUAGAGCACCUGACCAGCUAGAUCUCAUGAGUUAAGUAGUGGCAGUGUGUUGCAGGGAGUCAGAGGAAAGAGACGGGAGUGAAUGGCUAACACUCAGCUUCCUUGAAGAGCCAUCUCACCUCAAUACUGAGAGAGGAGCAGUGGGAGUGACUUUUACAGCUCAGACUCAAAGCCCAGGCUUUACUGGUAACAUCUAUUUUCUAAAACGCCAUGAAAAAGUAGGAGAUACUGCACCUGUGCAACAGUUCUGUUUGUGUCCUGUACUCUGGUCACUUGUCUUUUACUCUAGUGAAACCAACCUGAAAGUGAAGCAGGCCAUCUCAGUUACCAGUGACAUGGAAGAUCACCUGGAGCUUCUGUCUGCCUUUAAUGGAGAAGUGAGAUGUGAGGCUCCCAAUAACAAACUGGACAGAUUCUCAGGAAUACUGACCUAUAAAGGGAAAAACUACUUCCUGGACCAUGACAAGCUGCUACUCCGAGGCUGCAUCAUCAGGAAUACAGACUGGUGCUAUGGCUUGGUGAUCUACACUGGUACGUUUCCCUUGGCCCCCAGACUAAAUUCCAUUCAUGGCUGA